rnacentral:lncRNA from 1 species
UGGACAGCCCAGCUGCACCCAGGUGACAGUCUGGGCCCCUGGGAUGCCCUGCCAGGCAGCCUGGGCCUGCUGGGAAGCACUGCUUCCACCUGUUAGUGCUCCAGGGCUUUAAAGAAGAUUAUUUGCACAGUCAGAGAUGGAGCUACACCCUCAGGAAUCACUUCACCCCUGAGCCUGAGUGUGUCUGAGGAGAGUGCAGGAGGAGCUGAGAAGUGCAGGGGGAAGAGGAGCGUUGUGCAGCGAGGGAUUCCUGCAGAGGAGGUGAAUUCACAACCAUCCAGCUGGGAGCAGCACCAGCAGGACACCUGACAGGGGGCCCAGAGUUUGAUAUCAAAAAUAUCAAACUAUUAUAUUUAAACUUUCAUCAAACUUUAAUAUUUA